rnacentral:rRNA from 1 species
AUGAGUAUGUCUUUAGAUGUCAUGGUAUGGAAUGUAAGGGGGCUCAAUAACCCUGCUCGGAGGAACGCAGUUAGGCUUUUCGUGCAAUCUCUCAAUGUAUCCCUAGUUUUCUUUCAAGAGUCCAAGUUGGCACUGGUGAAUGACACUGUGGUUCAGGAAACUCUGGGGCCUGCCUUUGAUGGUUUUAAUUUCCUGCCGGCUGAAGGAACACGUGGUGGCAUAUUGUUGGCUUGGAAGUCUGAUAUGCUGCGGGUGGCUAACAUCCAGAAAGAGGAGUUCAUGAUAUCGGCACAAGUUCUUUCUCUAGCAGAGGGCAAAGAGUGGUUGGUUUCUUCGGUGUAUGGGCCGCAAGAAGACACAGACAAAGCAAGAUUCCUUGAGGCAAUUGUGCAGUUUGGAGGCCACGUGAGCUUGCCGUGGAUCCUGAAUAGAGAUUUCAACAUUGUGUGCAACCCAGAGGAGCGCAGCACUGGGAGAGUGAACAGGAGGCUGGUGAAUAAGCUUCAGCACACGAUCAACAGGUUGGGGCUCCACGGCAUGCCUCUGAUUGGGCGUCGCUUCUCUUGGUGCAAUCAACAGGAGAACGCCACCUUGGCAAGGCUAGACCGUGUGCUCUUCAACAAUGCAUGGGAGGACUUGUACCCCAUCAGUGAUUUGCUUCUGCUUAGCUCCAGUAUCUCAGAUCACACCCCUCUGCUGCUCACCUGCUCGUCCACAUGA